rnacentral:sRNA from 1 species
AUCACCUGCAAGUGGAGGAGGUGCGAAUUCGACCCGCCGUUGGGUGGGGCAGACGACCCCUGCCCGUGACGGAGGGGCUGGUGGAAGUCAGGCUUCCUGAUGGCUGGUCGCAAGUGUGCGACAAAGGCUGGAGCGCCCACAACAGCCACGUGGUCUGCGGGAUGCUGGGCUUUCCCAGCGAAAAGAGGGUCAACGCGGCCUUCUACAGGCCUGUGUCCGUCUAAAGGGUGGCGCCCACCCUGGAGAGGGCCGGGUAGAAGUCCUGAAGGCCAGCACAUGGGGCACAGUCUGUGACCGCAAGUGGGACCUGCAUGCAGCCAGCGUGGUGUGUCGGGAGCUGGGCUUCGGGAGUGCUCGAGAAGCUCUGAGUGGCGCUCGCAUGGGGCAGGGCAUGGGUGCUAUCCACCUGAGUGAAGUUCGCUGCUCUGGACAGGAGCUCUCCCUCUGGAAGUGCCCCCACAAGAACAUCACAGCUGAGGAUUGUUCGCAUAGCCAGGAUGCCGGGGUCCGGUGCAACCUACCUUACACUGGGGCAGAGACCAGGGAGACCUGGUACUGGGACUCUGGGAAUAUAACAGAGGUGGUGAUGAGUGGAGUGCGCUGCACAGGGACUGAGCUGUCCCUGGAUCAGUGUGCCCAUCAUGGCACCCACAUCACCUGCAAGAGGACAGAGACCCGCUUCACUGCUGGAGUCAUCUGUUCUGAGAGUG